rnacentral:tRNA from 1 species
GUCCCUGUAGCGCAAUGGAUAGCGCGUCGAACUUCUAAUCCAAAGGUCGUGGGUUCGAAUCCCAUCUGAGAUG